rnacentral:rRNA from 1 species
CCUACGGGAGGCAGCAGUAAGGAAUAUUGCGCAAUGGGGGCAACCCUGACGCAGCAACGCCGCGUGGGCGACGAAGGCCUUCGGGUUGUAAAGCCCUUUUCGGAGGGACGAGUAAGGACGGUACCUCCGGAACAAGUCUCGGCUAACUACGUGCCAGCAGCCGCGGUAAAACGUAGGAGGCAAGCGUUAUCCGGAUUCACUGGGCGUAAAGCGCGCGCAGGUGGCCUGUCAAGUCGGACGUGAAAUCUCCCGGCUCAACUGGGAGGGGCCGUUCGAUACUGGCGGGCUAGAGGGCAGAAGGGGAAGGCGGAAUUCCCGGUGUAGCGGUGAAAUGCGUAGAUAUCGGGAGGAGGGCCGGUGGCGAAGGCGGCCCUCUGGCGAUUGACUGACGCUGAGGCGCGAAAGCGUGGGGAGCAAACAGGAUUAGAUAC